GAUGAACGCUGGCGGCGUGCCUAACACAUGCAAGUCGAACGGAGUCGUUUUGGAAAUCUCUUCGGAGAUGGAAUUCUCGACUUAGUGUCGGACGGGUGAGUAACGCGUGAGCAAUCUGCCUUUAAGAGGGGGAUAACAGUCUGAAACGGCUGCUAAUACCGCAUAAAGCAUUAAAUUCGCAUGUUUUUGAUGCCAAAGGAGCAAUCCGCUUUUAGAUGAGCUCGCGUCUGGUUAGCUAGUUGGCGGGUAACGGCCCACCAAGGCGACGAUCAGUAGCCGGACGGAGGGGUGGAACGGCCACAUUGGGACUGAGACACGGCCCAGACUCCUACGGGGGGCAGCAGUAGUGAAUAUUGCGCGAUGGUGGACACCCUGACGCAGCAACGCCGCGUGAUUGAAGAAGGCCUUCGGGUUGUAAAGAUCUUUAAUCAGGGACGAAACAAAUGACGGUACCUGAAGAAUAAGCUCCGGCUAACUACGUG
rnacentral:rRNA from 1 species